rnacentral:tRNA from 1 species
GGCCCGUUGGUCAAGCGGUUAAGACAUCGCCCUUUCACGGCGGGAACACGGGUUCGAGUCCCGUACGGGUCACCA